CGUACACUCCUACGGGAGGCAGCAGUGGGGAAUAUUGGACAAUGGGCGCAAGCCUGAUCCAGCCAUGCCGCGUGAGUGAUGAAGGCCCUAGGGUUGUAAAGCUCUUUCACCGGUGAAGAUAAUGACGGUAACCGGAGAAGAAGCCCCGGCUAACUUCGUGCCAGCAGCCGCGGUAAUACGAAGGGGGCUAGCGUUGUUCGGAUUUACUGGGCGUAAAGCGCACGUAGGCGGACUAUUAAGUUAGGGGUGAAAUCCCGGGGCUCAACCCCGGAACUGCCUUUGAUACUGGUAGUCUUGAGUUCGAGAGAGGUGAGUGGAAUUCCGAGUGUAGAGGUGAAAUUCGUAGAUAUUCGGAGGAACACCAGUGGCGAAGGCGGCUCACUGGCUCGAUACUGACGCUGAGGUGCGAAAGCGUGGGGAGCAAACAGGAUUAGAAACCCCGGUAGUCCCAUGAU
rnacentral:rRNA from 1 species